rnacentral:rRNA from 1 species
AACGAACGCUGGCGGCAGGCCUAACACAUGCAAGUCGAACGCUCCAGCAAUGGAGAGUGGCAGACGGGUGAGUAACGCGUGGGAACCUACCCUUUGGUUCGGAAUAGCUCAGGGAAACUUGAGGUAAUACCGGAUAAGCCCCUCGGGGGAAAGAUUUAUCGCCGAAGGAUGGGCCCGCGUCGGAUUAGCUAGUUGGUGGGGUAAUGGCCUACCAAGGCGACGAUCCGUAGCUGGUCUGAGAGGAUGAUCAGCCACACUGGGACUGAGACACGGCCCAGACUCCUACGGGAGGCAGCAGUGGGGAAUAUUGGACAAUGGGCGCAAGCCUGAUCCAGCCAUGCCGCGUGAGUGACGAAGGUCUUCGGAUUGUAAAGCUCUUUUGGCGGGGACGAUAAUGACGGUACCCGCGGAAUAAGCCCCGGCUAACUUCGUGCCAGCCGCCGCCGUAACAC